rnacentral:lncRNA from 1 species
AAUUUUAAGUUCUGAAUGGCUUGAAGCGUUCAAUGUGAAGUCAUUGAACGGUUGGCUCUGUUUAAGGUAUUUGUUACAAAAAAUUGCAGUAAAAAUGUGGCCUAUGUAUGUGGAUUAUUCGGAUGAUGAAUGUAGGAGAGUUUUACGGAGUUUAGAAUUAGAAGCUUAUGCAGCUGUUGUCAAUGCUUUUCGAGCUCAAGGUGCAUUGACCAAAGAAAGAAAGAAAUUGCUGCAAGAUUUGUGUUUUGCAUUAAGCAUAUCUAUAGAAAGGCAUAGAGCAGAGAUAAGGAGAGCUGUGAAUGAUGAGCAUUUGAACACAAUAGCAGAAAGG